rnacentral:rRNA from 1 species
CCUACGGGUGACUGCAGUGGGGAAUAUUGCGCAAUGGGCGAAAGCCUGACGCAGCGAUGCCGCGUGAGGGAUGAAGGUCUUCGGAUCGUAAACCUCUGUCAGCAGGGAAGAACGGUCACGGUGCUAAGCAGCAGUGAAUGGACGGUACCUGCAAAGGAAGCACCGGCUAACGCCGUGCCAGCAGCCGCGGUAAUACGGAGGGGGCGAGCGUUAAUCGGAAUUACUGGGCGUAAAGCGCUCGUAGGCGGUAUGUCAAGUCAAGGGUGAAAUCCCCGCGCUCAACGUGGGAACUGCCUUUGAAACUGGCAAACUGGAUUUUGUUAGCGGAUAUUUGAAUUCCUGUUGU